UACGUAGGGGGCAAGCGUUGUCCGGAAUCAUUGGGCGUAAGCGCGCGUAGGCGGCCCGGUAAGUCCGCUGUAAAAGUCCAGGGCUCAACCCUGGAAGCCGGUGGAUACUGUCGGGCUAGAGUCCGGAAGAGGCGAGUGGAAUUCCUGGUGUAGCGGUGGAAUGCGCAGAUAUCAGGAGGAACACCGAUUGCGAAGGCAGCUCGCUGGGACGUAACUGACGCUGAGACGCGAAAGCCAGGGGAGCGAACGGG
rnacentral:rRNA from 1 species